AUUUAAAAAUAAAAGAAUAAUAAUCUUUUAUUCAUAAAAGACCACCUGUCACUUGAUUCUCUUACUAUGAGAGGUCUAAGAUAGGUGAAUCUAUAAAGACGAAAAAUAGAUUGGUGGUUGCCUCGCUUGGGAGGAUGAGCUGUGGUAAAAGGGAGUGACUGAUAGCUGGUACAAGGUUUCUCCGAGAGUGAUGGAAACAUUUUAGAAUUAUUCGUGGUAAUGGCUGGUGUGAAAAAAGAUAGAACAAUGAGAUGAGGGGGUUUGGGCUCCGCUUCCAGGAAAGCAGACAUGCUCAGACUAAGUCCAAGGAAGCGUAGGGCGUGGGUGGCAGGGUUGCGGGUGACUCAGCGGUGUGCGCGGAGACCAGCAGGACCGUGGAGAUGCGGAGGACUAGAAGACACCCCGCCUUCAGAAGAUAUGGGAACACAGGGAUAAGGGAACUCAUGGGAUCUGCCACCAGAGGGCAUAAGCAAACCGUGGUAGGUGGCAGACGAGAGUCCUCUCCGCACAAGAAUCCUGGUUUCCCCAGAAAGGUGCGGCCUGGGAAUCCCAGGGACACCUGGCAUCUCCACUAUUUGGCCCUGCCACAGCAGUUUCUGAGCUUUUCCUCUCCAGGGAUGCUGCUGACAGGCAGAGGACAGUGGCUGGAGAAACCAGGUGGGUCAUCCAUAAGUCACUUGCUGGCCUGCGCGCCCUCCCUACCCAUGAGGGCCAGGUCACUGCCCCUCACCCCAGGGGUGGUUCUGACCUUGGAGAGGGGCUGGUGGUCGCCCCAGAACCGUUCCUCUGACAUUAUCUCCUGUUUCACAGGCUUCUGCGGAGCCUCCUUGUCCAAGGCCAGGGGAUCGAGAGAGGCCAGCAGCCGGCUGUGGUAUAUAUCCGGGAUGGACAGCUUGAAACGGCGCUUGGCUCUCGCCACGGCCCAUCACUGGGCUGUGCUUCCCAGUGCUGGAGUGGCCAGGUGGGCCAGGCAGCUAUUCUGGCCAUGGGCUACAGAUGGAAGUAAAAUGGAAACUUUGAAGCAGGAUCAUAACAAUUUCAGUGCCUUCCUCCAACCUGUCCCCCGUCCUCUGAAGACCACAUGGGUUGAAGAAGGAACAAGCUGGAAUCUGGAGCAGCUUCCUCAAUUGCCUUCAUGCUUCACUAUGGUAAGUCACUGGGACUUGGGGAUUGUUUUCAACUGAAGUUAGGUUACUCUGCUAUGACUGUGUAUUCAUUUUGGAAAAAAAUAGGUAGUA
rnacentral:lncRNA from 1 species